UUCUGAGUCAUCCGCUUCAGCAUCACCUGCCCGUUGCUGUCGAAUGUGUAGAAGGAUAUUUUAUCAGGCCGUAGAAGGUCUACUGGUGAUGUCAGCAGCCUUGAAACAGGUGACCGUGAAAAAGAAUUACCAAAAAAAAUAACCACUCCCGUAAAUACCAAAAAUAUUACCUGUUACUGAUCAGUGAGUCAUCCUCCUCAGGAACCGGAAGGGCGUGCGUCCAUUGACAGAGGAUCGCCGAAGCGAGAAUCACCCAGACUUUUUUGUCCAUGUCUGAACUGAAACCUUUAGAAGAGCAACCAGAAAUGAAGAAUGAAUGAAAAACUCGGAGGUCACCGAUGUUAAUUUAUAAUGCAUGCAUCGCACAUAUAAAAUGUGAUGUGUGAUAAAGAAAUGGACAAGUCUACUGACCCAGAGACUCCAAAGUCAACGAACCCGUUUUUCGUUUGAGGAACCAGUUAACCAACUACAACCGGUUUUUUAGGCAGUUCUUCUAACAUAUAUAUUUAUAAAUCCUGCUAAAAAGCAGCCGUCACGAACCCCGGAUAAGUGUGGACUGGUCGUGGGUACCCUUGGCUUUAACUUUAACACGGGGAAUAAAAUCCGGGGGAACGGACGAGAACGAUGAGAGGGAGAGAAACCGGUGUAAGAAAGUACUUGAUAAAGACUCGUGUUCCAAGAAAUUCUCAGGGCAAUAAGAGAAGAAAAUUCCUGUUACUGUCACGCUCGGUUGAACUGGCAUGAAAUUCCAUAUUAUGUACCUUCUUCAUUCAUAAUAUAAAAAAUUUGUGUAUAUAUAUAUGUGUGAAAAAGGUUUUGAGAGUGAAUAAUUAUUUGGGUGUUAUUAUGUAAAGAAUAUGAAGUUAGACGAAAUUGAAGGUGGAAGAAAUUUUGAAAU